rnacentral:rRNA from 1 species
UACGUAGGGGACGAGCGUUAUCCGGAUUCAUUGGGCGUAAAGCGCGCGUAGGCGGCCGCCUGAGCGGAACCUCUAACCCCGGGGCUCAACCUCGGGCCGGGUUCCGGACUGGGCGGCUCGAGUGCGGUAGAGGAGAGCGGAAUUCCCGGUGUAGCGGUGGAAUGCGCAGAUAUCGGGAAGAACACCGAUGGCGAAGGCAGCUCUCUGGGCCGUCACUGACGCUGAGGCGCGAAAGCUGGGGGAGCGAACAGG